rnacentral:tRNA from 1 species
UUCCCUGUAGCUCAGUUGGUAGAGCAUGGUGUUUGCAACGCCAGGGUUGUGGGUUCGAUUCCCACAGGGGGAC